rnacentral:rRNA from 1 species
AACGAACGCUGGCGGCAGGCUUAACACAUGCAAGUCGAACGGUUGUAGCAAUACAGCAGUGGCAGACGGGUGAAUAACACGUGGGAACCUUCCUCGUAGUACGGAACAACUCAGGGAAACUUGAGCUAAUACCGUAUACAUCCGAGAGGAGAAAGAUUUAUCGCUAUGAGACGGGCCCGCGUCCGAUUAGCUAGUUGGUGGGGUAACGGCCUACCAAGGCUACGAUCGGUAGCUGAUCUGAGAGGAUGAUCAGCCACACUGGGACUGAGACACGGCCCAGACUCCUACGGGAGGCAGCAGUGGGGAAUCUUGGACAAUGGGCGAAAGCCUGAUCCAGCCAUGCCGCGUGAGUGAAGAAGGCCUUAGGGUUGUAAAGCUCUUUUGGCAGGGACGAUAAUGACGGUACCUGCAGAAUAAGCCCCGGCAAACUUCGUGCCAGCAGCCGCGGUAAUACGAAGGGGGCUAGCGUUGUUCG